rnacentral:tRNA from 1 species
GCGGUGAUUGAGCUACGGUGCGCUCGACGGUCUCAUAAGCCGUCACUUAUCUGGUUCAACUCCAGACGCCGCUUCCA